GACAGAGGGUGCAAACGUUGUUCGGAAUUACUGGGCGUAAAGCGCGUGUAGGCGGUUUGGAUAGUCGGAUGUGAAAGCCCCGGGCUCAACCCGGGAAGUGCAUUCGAUACUCCCAAGCUAGAGUAUCGGAGAGGUUGGUGGAAUUCUCGGUGUAGAGGUGAAAUUCGUAGAUAUCGAGAGGAACACCGGUGGCGAAGGCGGCCAACUGGACGAAUACUGACGCUGAGACUCGAAAGCGUGGGGAGCAAACAGG
rnacentral:rRNA from 1 species